rnacentral:rRNA from 1 species
AACCUGUUUUUUAAUCGACAAUCCNCGUUAAUUUUCACUUAAAUUAAAAAUUUAUAUACCGCCAUCUAAAAAACUAAUUUUAUAAUAAUAUUUUCAAUAAAAAAUAAAAAGUUAGGUCAAGGUGUAAUCAACAUUUAAGUUAAAUAUGGGUUACUUUAAAAAAAAUUUAAGGAUUUUUUUAUAAAAAUAUUUCUUAAAAAAGGAUUUAAAAGUAAUAUUAAAAUAAUAUUUUACUAUGAUAAAGAUAAUAAAUGUGC